AUUGAACGCUGGCGGCAGGCCUAACACAUGCAAGUCGAGCGAGCGGCGGACGGGUGAGUAAUGUAUGGGGACUGCCCGAUAUAGGGGGAUAACUACUGGAAACGGUAGCUAAUACCCCAUACUAUCGUAUCACCCAUAUGGUAUUAGCUAGUAGGUGAGGUAAUGGCUCACCUAGGCGACGAUCCCUAGCUGGUCUGACAGGGUGAUCAGCCACACUGGGACUGAGACACGGCCCAGACUCCUACGGAGGCAGCAGUGGGGAAUAUUGCGCAAUGGGCGCAAGCCUGAUGCAGCCAUGCCGCGUGUAUGAAGAAGGCCCUAGGGUUGUAAAGUACUGUCAGUCGGGAGGCGGUACCGAAAGAAGAAGCACCGGCUAACUCCGUGCCAGCAGCCGCGGUAAUUC
rnacentral:rRNA from 1 species